rnacentral:rRNA from 1 species
GAUGAACGCUGGCGGCGUGCCUAACACAUGCAAGUCGAACGAACAGACGAGGAUCUUGUGCCGCUGACGUUAGCGGCAGGCGGGAGAGUAACGCGUGUAUAACCUACUUGUAAUACGGGGAUAAUUACGGGAAACCGGAUCUAAUACCGUAGAAUAUAUUGAACCGCAGGGUUCAAUGGUGAAAGACGGCUUUGGGGGCACUUAUAGAUGGUUCCGCGCUGCAUUAGCUAGUUGGGAGGGUAACGGCCUACCAAGGCAACGAUGCGUGGACGAGGUGAUAGAGUGAUAGGCCACACUGGAACUGGGACACGGUCAAGACUCCUACGAGAGGCCGCAGUAGGGAACGUUCGGCAAUGGGCGAAAGCCUGGCGGAGCGACGGCGCGUGAGUGGUAAAGGCCUUCGGAUCGUAAAACCCUGUUAUUGGGUAAGAACAGCUGUCUACGUAAAUAUACCCGUAUUGACGGUAAUUAAUCAAAAAGCACCGGCUAACUACGUG